CACCGCGGUUAUACGAGAGGCCCGAGUUGAUAUUUUCCGGCGUAAAGAGUGGUUAGGGAAUACAUAAACUAAAGCCGCAUUCCUCCACAGCUGUUAUACGCAUUCGGAGGACAGAAGCCCACCUACGAAAGUGGCUUUAAUUCACCUGACCCCACGAAAGCCAUGGCA
rnacentral:rRNA from 1 species